UCAAACGUGUGCUCUACUGAUCCAUUGAGGAUGUCGCUUACAAUCGAGCAAACAGGGGAACUGAUGGAAUUCUACUUUGAGACCAAAUCGAUCAUGCAAACCCAACGACAAUAUCAGCGUCAUUUUGCAGUUAGAAAAGCUCCAGACAGAAAGACAAUAUGGAGGAUUGUAAAGACGUUUCAAACUGAUGUUGGAAACUUUGCAGUCAGGUUGAAUGAAGGGCUGAACCACC